GGCAAGCACAAGAACUGUUUCCUGCCUUUCAGCUGUCCCUUCCUCUGUACAGCUUGUGCAACUCAAUGGAGUAACUAUGCCAGGACCACCUUUUCCAAGACACAUGCUUACACGCUUCUAUGCUAGCAGAGGACCAACUGUAGAUUUAGUAUAGGUCUGUUUUAAUUUACACUGUGGUACCUGCUAAGCUUCAUAGAUAGAAACAUACUUCCAUAUGAUAGAGCUCAGAAAAUGAUGUGAACACACCAGCAUGAAGGAAGAAUCCCAGUGCAUAGAAACUAGUGCAUCUUGUGAAGAACAGCUGACAUAACUGGAAUGCAAACUUGCCUGCUUCCAACAUUUGACAUACUGUAUAAUGACCUGGAAGUUAAUUUUUAACAGCCACUUCAACUUCCUUGCCUACAGAUCUGUGCCGUGUUUCAGAACCUAUCGUCCCACUGUAUCGUCCCACUAACUGCGUGAGUUUCCUUGGAAGAGAAACAGCUGUUGGAAUUUAGGAACAAGGAUCACAAAAGCUCCACCUUUUUUGUCUGGACAAGUCAUCUUCAUGAAGGCCAUCAUAAGGAUACAGAGCUACUACAAUGACUCCAUGCUCUUCUGGUUCUACAGAUACAGAAAGGCAAAGGAAUAUUCUCAUUAUUUCACAAGCUGAUGAGGACAUUAGCACAUAGACAGCAAGAUUGCUUAGGAAAACUUACCUUCAUUGGCAAAUAUCUGUCCCGGUAGAAGGUGUGCAUCUGUAUUUGCCUACAAUGAAAUAUGCCUUUAAUUAAGCAGUUUCAUAUCUUUGAGACAACACUGCAUUACAGUUACAUAUUAUUCACUUGCUUUGUUAUUAUCAUAUAUGUCUUAUGACACAUUUUGCAGUCUUCUUUGACCACUCAUCAGAAGCAAAUUACAACAAAGAAAAUACAGUAAAACCCAACUAGAUUUUGAACUGAGCAGCUCAGACCCCAGGAAGCUGUUCAACAUGGGAAAGUUCACAAUUUGCAACUUCUGCUUUUACAUUGGACAGUUUAACUGGAGGGCUAGAAUCACAUUGCUGGUGUGAGGAACUGUCAUGCUAAAGAACUACAAGCACAGCUAUAUUUCUAAGGAUCUAUGAGAGGAAUAAAACUAAUUAAAAACAAUGCAAACAGUAA